GACGAACGCUGGCGGCGUGCCUAAUACAUGCAAGUCGAACGAGAGCAACCGGUGCUUGCACUGGUCAAUCUAGUGGCGAUCGGGUGAGUAACACGUGGGUAACCUGCCCAUCAGAGGGGGAUAACAUCCGGAAACGGAUGCUAAAACCGCAUAGGUCUUCGAACCGCAUGGUUUGAAGAGGAAAAGAGGCGCAAGCUUCUGCUGAUGGAUGGACCCGCGGUGCAUUAGCUAGUUGGUGAGGUAACGGCUCACCAAGGCCGUGAUGCAUAGCCGACCUGAGAGGGUGAUCGGCCACAUUGGGACUGAGACACGGCCCAAACUCCUACGGGAGGCAGCAGUAGGGAAUCUUCCGCAAUGGACGCAAGUCUGACGGAGAAACGCCGCGUGAGUGAAGAAGGUUUUCGGAUCGUAAAACUCUGUUGUUAGAGAAGAACAAGUGCUAGAGUAACUGUUAGCGCCUUGACGGUAUCUAACCAGAAAGCCACGGCUAACUACGUG
rnacentral:rRNA from 1 species